rnacentral:rRNA from 1 species
UACGAAGGGGGCUAGCGUUGUUCGGAUUUACUGGGCGUAAAGCGCGUGUAGGCGGACUUGUAAGUUGGGGGUGAAAUCCCGAGGCUCAACCUCGGAACUGCCUCCAAAACUACAAGUCUGGAGCAAGAUAGAGGCAAGUGGAAUUGCGAGUGUAGAGGUGAAAUUCGUAGAUAUUCGCAGGAACACCAGUGGCGAAGGCGACUUGCUGGAUCUUUGCUGACGCUGAGACGCGAAAGCGUGGGGAGCAAACAGGG